rnacentral:rRNA from 1 species
UCGAGGAUCUUCCGCAAUGGGCGCAAGCCUGACGGAGCGACGCCGCGUGUGGGAUGAAGGCCUUCGGGUUGUAAACCACUGUCACUCGUUAAGAAAGGGUCCGGCGUCAACAGCGUCGGGCACUGACGAAGGCGAGAGAGGAAGCCACGGCUAACUUCGUGCCAGCAGCCGCGGUAAGACGAAGGUGGCGAGCGUUGUUCGGAAUCAAUGGGCAGAAAGCGCACGUAGGCGGUGCCGUAAGUCGGGUGUGAAAUCCCUCGGCCUAACCGAGGAACUGCGCCCGGUACUGCGGUGCUUGAGGACCAGAGGGGUGCAUGGAAUUUCCGGUGGAGCGGUGAAAUGCGUUGAUAUCGGAAGGAACUCCGGCGGCGAAAGCGAUGCACUGGCUGGUUUCUGACGCUGAGGUGCGAAAGCCAGGGGAGCAAACGGG